rnacentral:rRNA from 1 species
GACGAACGCUGGCGGCGUGCUUAACACAUGCAAGUCGAACGGAAAGGCCCUGCCUUUGUGGGGUGCUCGAGUGGCGAACGGGUGAGUAACACGUGAGUAACCUGCCCUUGACUUUGGGAUAACUUCAGGAAACUGGGGCUAAUACCGGAUAGGAGCUCCUGCUGCAUGGUGGGGGUUGGAAAGUUUCGGCGGUUGGGGAUGGACUCGCGGCUUAUCAGCUUGUUGGUGGGGUAGUGGCUUACCAAGGCUUUGACGGGUAGCCGGCCUGGGAGGGUGACCGGCCACAUUGGGACUGAGAUACGGCCCAGACUCCUACGGGAGGCAGCAGUGGGGAAUAUUGCACAAUGGGCGGAAGCCUGAUGCAGCAACGCCGCGUGCGGGAUGACGGCCUUCGGGUUGUAAACCGCUUUCACCUGUGACGAAGCGAGAGUGACGGUAAUGGGAGAAGAAGCACCGGCUAACUACGUG